UACGUUUGUAUUAUACAAUUU
rnacentral:piRNA from 1 species